rnacentral:tRNA from 1 species
GAGGGUAUCGCUCAGUGGUAGAGCACAUGCUUAGCGUACAUGAGAUCCUGGGUUCAAGCCUCAGUAUCUGCU